GAUCAUGGCUCAGGAUGAACGCUAGCGACAGGCUUAACACAUGCAAGUCGAGGGGCAGCACAGGUAGCAAUACCGGGUGGCAACCGGCGCACGGGUGAGCAACGCGUAUGCAACUUGCCUAUCAGAGGGGGAUAACCCGGCGAAAGUCGGACUAAUACCGCAUGAAGCAGGGGCCCCGCAUGGGGAUAUUUGCUAAAGAUUCAUCGCUGAUAGAUAGGCAUGCG
rnacentral:rRNA from 1 species